rnacentral:rRNA from 1 species
AUGAACGCUGGCGGCGUGCCUAAUACAUGCAAGUCGAGCGAACGGACGAGGAGCUUGCUUCUCUGAUGUUAACGGCGGACGGGUGAGUAACACGUGGAUAACCUACCUAUAAGACUGGGAUAACUUCGGGAAACCGGAGCUAAUACCGGAUAAUAUUUUGAACCGCAUGGUUCAAAAGUAAAAGACGGUCUUGCUGUCACUUAUAGAUGGAUCCGCGCUGCAUUAGCUAGUUGGUAAGGUAACGGCUUACCAAGGCAACGAUGCAUAGCCGACCUGAGGGGGUGAUCGGCCACACUGGAACUGAGACACGGUCCAGACUCCUACGGGAGGCAGCAGUAGGGAAUCUUCCGCAAUGGGCGAAAGCCUGACGGAGCAACGCCGCGUGAGUGAUGAAGGUCUUCGGAUCGUAAAACUCUGUUAUUAGGGAAGAACAUAUGUGUAAGUAACUGUGCACAUCUUGACGGUACCUAAUCAGAAAGCCACGGCUAACUACGUG